GAUGAACGCUGGCGGCGUGCCUAACACAUGCAAGUCGAGCGAUUUACUUCGGUAAAGAGCGGCGGACGGGUGAGUAACGCGUGGGUAACCUGCCCUGUACACACGGAUAACAUACCGAAAGGUAUGCUAAUACGAGAUAAUAUACUUUUAUCGCAUGGUAGAAGUAUCAAAGCUCUGGCGGUACAGGAUGGACCCGCGUCUGAUUAGCUAGUUGGUAAGGUAACGGCUUACCAAGGCGACGAUCAGUAGCCGACCUGAGAGGGUGAUCGGCCACAUUGGAACUGAGACACGGUCCAAACUCCUACGGGAGGCAGCAGUGGGGAAUAUUGCACAAUGGGCGAAAGCCUGAUGCAGCAACGCCGCGUGAGCGAUGAAGGCCUUCGGGUCGUAAAGCUCUGUCCUCAAGGAAGAUAAUGACGGUACUUGAGGAGGAAGCCCCGGCUAACUACGUG
rnacentral:rRNA from 1 species